CGGCUUUGCAAGUCUUCGGUUAAAUCCACCUGCUCAACAGAUGGGCCGCUGGAGAUACUACAAAGCUAGGGAGUGGGAGAGGCAGACGGUACUCAGUGGGUAGGGGUAAAAUCCUCUGAUCCAUUGAGGACCACCAGUGGCGAAGGCGGUCUGCCAGAACACGUUCGACGGUGAGGGAUGAAAGCUGGGGGAGCAAACCGGAUUAGAUACCCGGGUAGUCCCAGCUGUAAACGAUGCAAACUCGGUGAUGCAUUGGCUUAUGGCCAAUGCAGUGCCGCAGGGAAGCCGUUAAGUUUGCCGCCUGGGAA
rnacentral:rRNA from 1 species